GAGGCUGUGGCUCAGUUGUAGAGCACUUGCCUGGCAUGCAUGAGGCACUGGGUUCGAUCCUCAGCACCACA
rnacentral:tRNA from 1 species